rnacentral:rRNA from 1 species
GAUUUAUUUAAUAAAGGGUUGAUCCUAAAUGAUUUUAACGUUGUAUAGUUAUGUUAUUAUUAUUAAAUGGUAGUGAAAUGCUAUUCGAUUUUUAUGUUAGCUAGUUUAUUAUUUAAGUACAUAUUAGUGUUAUUUAACAAAAUAUGUAAUUACAUAUAUUUGUUAAAUAAAUAAUUAAUGGGGGAAAAGCUUCAUAUUAUUGUUAAGAUUAAAAUAUAAAAAUAGUUUGUUUAUUUAAGUUGAAUUAAAUAAUUUAAUUUAUAAUUUCAAUAAUUAAAUUAUUGGUAUAAAUCUUGAUAAAUUUUAAUAAAAUUUUAUUAAUUAUUAUAAUAAUUUAAUAUAAUGUUAAUAUGAGUAUUGUUAAUUUAACUUAAUUAAAUUUUGUUAGAAAAUAUAAUUGAAAGUGUUAAUAAAAUAAUGUAAUUGAAAUAAUUAUAAAUAAAAUAAAUAAAAGGAAUUCGGCAAAUAUCAAUUUCGCCUGUUUAUCAAAAACAUGUCUCUUUGUUUUUUACAUAUAAGGAG